GCAGGUUGACGCACUUGUCGGGACACGUGAAUGUGGAGGAAAGAUUACAUUUUACAGUCUUGGAUAGCGAAUCAGAACAAUGGAUACACCACUCCUUAUCAUUUUCUGCUCCUGUUUUUAUAUGCCCUUCUGUAAAACAGAUGGUAAGCUCUAUGAUGCAUAUGUGAUUUAUCCCAAAACUGACACAUUGAGUUCAACAAGAAGG